AUCCAGCUGACGAGUCCCGAAUAGGACGAAACGCGCGUCCCGGAU
rnacentral:hammerhead_ribozyme from 1 species